UACGUAGGGACCAAGCGUUGUCCGGAAUCAUUGGGCGUAAAGAGCGUGUAGGCGGCUUGUUAAGUCUUGCGUGAAAUCUCGGGGCUCAACCCCGAGCGGUCGUGAGAAACUGGCAGGCUAGAGUGCGGGAGAGGAGAGUGGAAUUCCCGGUGUAGCAGUGAAAUGCGUAGAGAUCGGGAGGAACAUCUGUGGCGAAGGCGGCCAUCUGGACCAGCACUGACACUGAGGCACGAAAGCGUGAGGAGCAAACAGG
rnacentral:rRNA from 1 species